rnacentral:rRNA from 1 species
CAUUGGGAAGUUCGUUGUGCAAAUCAAUGUAUCUUGAAAUGAAAUCUUGUUUGAAGAUGAGAGGAAGAAAGAGUAUAUAAUAAAAUUAUUUAAAGUUGAUUACAAUAAUUUAGUAGAGUGAAUCGAAAUAUAUGUAUUAAAGCUAUAGAGAAAAGUACUGUGAAGGAAAGAUGAAAUAAUUUGAAAAUUGAUUUAAUAAAAAGUAAUUAUAUAAAUUUGUACCUUGUGUAUCAGGGAAGACUAAAAUUAUCUUGAGAUUUAAGAAGUCCCGAAAGAAAAAGAGUUAAUUCAAAAAUAAAGUUUUCGUGUUAAUGAAAUUUUAAAUUUUGUGUUAGUAAUGAGAUGUUAGUCGAUUUUUUAUAUCUGGUUAUCAGUGAAUUAAAUUUAAUUUAAAUAUUUAAUGGUAAAGUUAAGCUAAUAAAUAGGAAAGAAUGGGAGGGAAGAGCUUCUUAUUCUAUAAUGAUUGAGUUGUGAUUAAAAGAUGAGAAAAUAAUUGUUAAAUUAAGCUUAAAAACAGCUAUAUU